UACGGAGGAUGCGAGCGUUAUCCGGAUUUAUUGGGUUUAAAGGGUGCGUAGGCGGCCGAGUAAGUCAGCGGUGAAAUUUUGCAGCUUAACUGUAACAGUGCCGUUGAUACUGCAUGGCUAGGAUUUGGUUGCUGUGGGUGGAAUGUGUGGUGUAGCGGUGAAAUGCUUAGAUAUCACACAGAAUAUCAAUUGCGAAGGCAGCUCACAAAGCCAAGAUUGACGCUGAGGCGACGAAAGUAGUGGGGAGUCAAA
rnacentral:rRNA from 1 species